rnacentral:rRNA from 1 species
GCUUGUCUCAAAGAUUAAGCCAUGCAUGUCUCAGAAUAAAUCUCUAUACGUUGAAUCUGCAAAUGGCUCUUUAAAACAGUUAUUGUUUACUUGAUGGUCAUUCCUUACAUGGAUAACUGUGGUAAUUCUAGAGCUAAUACAUGUGCCCAAGCCCGACUCCGUGGAAGGGUUGUGUUUAUUAGUUACAGAACCAACCGAUGCUUGCAUCGUCUUGUGGUGAUUCAUAAUAACUCCUCGAAUCGCAUGGCCUUGCGCCGGCGAUGUUUCAUUCAAAUUUCUGCCCUAUCAAUUUGAUGGUAGGAUAGAGGCCUACCAUGGUGGUAACGGGUGACGGAGAAUUAGGGUUCGAUUCCGGAGAGGGAGCCUGAGAAACGGCUACCACAUCCAAGGAAGGCAGCAGG